AUAAUCGUUUUAUCACUGCAGAGGAGGGCCUUUGUGUUUUUUAACAGCUGGGAUGCGUGCUGCGAUUUCGCCAGAGAUUACCUCAAAAAUCCAGUUACUGUUGGAGAGUGGACGCUCAGAAUCCACAUUGUUUUACAAGACAUGCUUCCUGGUUCAAGUGAGGAGAGCAUGUAUAGAAGCAUGAUGAAAUGGAGCAACACUCAUGUUCCAGAGUCUGAGGCUCUGGAGGACCGGCUGCUGAGUGUGGAGGUCUCCGAGGUGAAUGUGGACCUUCUCAUGAUGAUCAUGGAG